rnacentral:rRNA from 1 species
AGAGUUUGAUCCUGGCUCAGGAUGAAUGCUGGCGGCGUGCUUUAAGCAUGCAAGUCGAACGGAAGCAGCAAUGCUUCAGUGGCAGACGGGUGAGUAACGCGUAGGAAUCUACCUCUGGGCGGGGCAUAGCCGGCCGAAAGGUCGGGUAAUUCCCCAUAGUUCCCGCAAGGGUAAAGCACUUAACGGUGCACCGAGAGAGGAGCCUGCGUCCUAUCAGCUUGUUGGCGGGGUAAAUGCCCACCAAGGCAAUGACGGGUAGCUGGACUGAGAGGUCGAUCAGCCACAACUGCACUGAGAAACGGGCAGUACACCUACGGGUGGCAGCAACUGGGAAUAUUGCGCAAUGGACGAAAGUCUGACGCAGCGACGCCGCGUGAAGGAAGAAGGCCCUCGGGUCGUAAACUUCUUUUGCCAAGCCGUUCACAGCUUGGAGAAUAAGCCUCUACUAACUACGUGCCAGAAGUCUCGGUAAUACGUAGGAGGCAAGCAUUAUCCGGAUUCAUUGGGCGUAAAGUGUGCGUAGGCGCCCUUUCAAGUCGUGUCUUAAAGACCAAGGCCUAACCUUGGAAAUGGGUACGAUACUGGGAGGGUUGAGGAUUGGCAAGGAAGCUGGAACAGUUAGUGUAGCAGUGAAAUGCGUUGAUAUUAACUGGAACACCAAAGGCGAAGGCAGGCUUCUAGGCUCUUCCUGACGCUGAUGCACGAAAGCUAGGGUAGCGAAACAGAUUAGAUACCUGUGUAGUCCUAGCCGUAAACGAUGUCCGCUAGCUCUCUGUUCUGCAAAGAACAGAAUAAAAUUUCGAAGCACGAAUAUCGAAACUCGAAACAAUAUCAAAAUUCAAAUAAACAAAAGUUUCAAACAUUUGUAUUUAGAAAAUUAGAAUUUGUUUCGGAUUUAGGAUUUUGACCUGCCUGUCGGCAGGCAGGAAUUCGGAUUUUUUAGUUCUAUUUUUUGCUGAGCAGGGGGUGUAAGCUAACGCGUUAAGCGGACCGCCUGGGGAGUACGGUCGCAAGACUAAAACUCAAAGGAAUUGACGGGGACCCGCACAACCGGUGGAGCGUGUGGUUCAAUUCGAGACAAAACGAAGAACCUCACCAAGGCUUGACAUGUAACUGGAAAGUCGUCGAAAGGCGACCCCCCUUCGAGGCUGUUACACAGGUGCUGCAUGGUUGUCGUCAGCUCGUGCCGUGAGGUGUUCCCUUAAGUGGGGAAACGAGCGCAACCCCCAUCCAAUGUUAAAUAUUCAUUGGAAACGGUCCCGAUUAUAUCGGGAAGGAAGGAGGGGAAGACGUCAAAUCAGCACGGCCCUUAUGCCUUGGGCUACACACACACUACAAUGGCGAACAACAACGGGUUGCAAGUACGUAAGUGCAAGCUAAUCCCUAAAAUUUCGCCUCAGUUCAGAUUGAGGGCUGAAACUCGCCCUCAUGAAGUCGGAAUCGGUAGUAAUCGCGGAUCAGCAAGCCGCGGUGAAUACGUUCUCGGGUCUUGUACACACCGCCCGUCAAGGCAGCAAAGUCGGUAGCUAUCGAAGGCUGGAGCAAUUCGGACGAGAUAGAGAUUGGCGAUGAGGCUUAAGUCGUAACAAGGUAUCCCUACCCGAAGGUGGGGAUG